rnacentral:snoRNA from 1 species
AUGUCUCUUGCCUCGCUCGGUCUUCUGCUUCACUCAGUUGAUCUUGAGCUGGAUGCAACCUGCACUUUCAAUGUACAGGUCUGUAUGAGACAAGAAUGAGGUUCUACCCUCGACGAUCUUUGAGUACGGUUUUAUCCGGUAUGCACCACGGAUAUUGAAUCGUAAUUUAUCAGUCGGGACACUC